GGUGUAGCUCAGUGGUAGAGUGCAUGCUUAGCAUGCAUGAGGCCCUGUGUUAAAUACCCAACACC
rnacentral:tRNA from 1 species